GGAGAAAAAGACGGAAGAUACGGAGAAAAAGACGGAAGAUACGGAGAAAAAGACGGAUACUUUUACUCGCAGAAGUAACACAAAUAAUAAGCUAAAGUGCAGAAAAUAUUGACGAAAAAUACAGCUAACUGCUAUGUUGGAGAGUGCUUGUUGCCGUACAGGAGUCCUCCAUGAAUGGAGCAACUUAGCACCGUCCUGUUCUACACACCAAGGAAUUUAAGCAAAGAAACUCACCCCAUCUGAUUUUCUUUUUCACUUCGAAAAUGGUCUCCAUCCCACCUUGUUUGUGAUCAUUGACGUGACAGUGAAGCAGCCAUUUUCCUGGGUUUACGGGAGUCAUCUCGAGAGAAGCAAAGACUCCGGGGAAAAUAUCAUACACGUCGUCGACAUGUUCUGAAUUUGUCCGCUGCAAGAAGAAGCAAAUGCUACAGUCCCGGACAAAAAUAGUUGAGACUUCAAGGAAAGAUAGCAAAUCGCAAUAAAGAUUUGGUAAUAUGGACAUCCAUUCAGGGGAUCUAUAGUUGGGCAAACUUUUCAAUCCUCGUCCAACGGGUUCCUUAGAGAACCAGGACAAUGCCUGCAUAUGGCUAUUCAUCCAACGAACAGGUAAUCUCAACUGACAUCCUCAGUAACCAAACUAUAACCUAUUUAAUGGGACUGUUGUAUACUUAUGUAGAUUCAUGUUCAAAAGAUUCUUUUCGGAUCUGCACGUGUGGAACAUGUCCUUAGCCUGACGCAGGGUUGCAUAGUAUCGUAUAGAGAUCCCCUUUCCUUCGUAGAAAGAAUUUUUCAAGUACCCUGUGGCCGCUUGAAUCAAAGCAACUAAUAAAUUAAGUAACCAACUUACAUGUAUA